GAUGAACGCUGGCGGCGUGCCUAAUACAUGCAAGUCGAGCGAACGGACGAGAAGCUUGCUUCUCUGAUGUUAGCGGCGGACGGGUGGGUAACACGUGGAUAACCUACCCAUAAGACUGGGAUAACUUCGGGAAACCGGAGCUAAUACCGGAUGAUAUUUUGAACCGCAUGGUUCAAAAGUGAAAGACGGUCUUGCUGUCACUUAUAGAUGGAUCCGCGCUGCAUUAGCUAGUUGGUAAGGUAACGGCUUACCAAGGCAACGAUGCAUAGCCGACCUGAGAGGGUGAUCGGCCACACUGGAACUGAGACACGGUCCAGACUCCUACGGGAGGCAGCAGUAGGGAAUCUUCCGCAAUGGGCGAAAGCCUGACGGAGCAACGCCGCGUGAGUGAUGAAGGUCUUCGGAUCGUAAAACUCUGUUAUUAGGGAAGAACAUAUGUGUAAGUAACUGUGCACAUCUUGACGGUACCUAAUCAGAAAGCCACGGCUAACUACGUG
rnacentral:rRNA from 1 species